AACAUACAUAACACCAAUGCAAAUAAAGAGCCUUAAAACGGGUUGAAAUUUGAGAUUAAGUUGGGCUCAAUUAAAGAUUCUUUUAAAAUAGGUUAAGGCUUGAAUGGGUUGAGAUUGAACCCAACCCAUAAAAAUUUAGGCGGGUUACCUAUAUUUGGGCUCAUUUUGACACCCCUAAUUGUUGAUUUCAGUAAAUAUGAAUUUUUCUGAUUCUCAAACUAUGCUUUGUUACAGAAGUUAACUAGUUUUUUUUUUUUGGUGACUAACUGGUUGUAUUACCAAAGUACAAAGAAGUACAGAAGUCUUACAGUGUUGAACAACAAGCCCCAAGCACUGAUGGCAAAAUAAUCAAAAUACAUCAAGAGAUCCGCAUUAACUAUCUAACGUAGCCUAUGGAUAAUCGUUGAGUAUAGACAGCCUACUAUUCAAUCUAGGGAAUAGAGAGCCCCUGCAAUGGAUUGCUUGAACAGUCAUCCUUACAAACACAUCAGGUCCUCUACUCUUCUGCGGAAAUGACGUCAUGUUUCCCUCCUGCCACACCAAUUAUAGACAGCAUGCUAAAUCCAAUCUGUUUAGGAUAGCGUGCACUGACAUGCGUGCCACUAGCAUGCUUAACAACCCACAUCAUUUCUUCAUGCGACUCCAGAUAUACCCUUUGAAUGCCCAGCCAUGAGAGCAGCUUAUCCAAAAUGGCAGCUGAGUACUGGCACUUGAAGAACAAAUUGUCCAGGCUCUCAUCAGUGUUGGUGAAAAGAAUGCAGGACAUAUCAGGUAGAAUACUCCAUUUGGCUAACCUAUAUUUAGGCAAAAGUCUUCUUCAAACAGCCAUCUAGGUGCCCCAUGGUUGUUGCACAGUAACUUCAUCCACUCCACUAUAGUGUAGUGUCCCCCCUCAGCUUAUAAUGGACAGUUUGUGUGCUGAAUUUAGUCACAGUAGCAACAUCCUGCACCUCAUAGUCAGCUGCUUCCAGAGUUCUUUUGGCAUUGAGGAUCUUUUUGAUCAUCCAUGAGGCUUGGUUAUCAUGCCACAUUUCAUGUACUGUCACACUUAAUGUAGUAGGUAUGGACCCAUUGGAUCCAUAACUUGUCCUUUUUCAAACACAGAUUCCAGAAGUGCUUAAAAAUGGCAGUUCCAUUCCAAUCAGUCAUGUCUAAGAAACCAAGACCACCCGCUGUCUUUGGGAUACAUAACUUUUCCCCAAGCAAUCAAAGACUUUUUUGAGGUCUCAGCACCCCCAGUCCACGGGAAUCCUUUUUUUUGAACUGAUAACCCAGGCCACGGGAAUCCUUAUGCAAGGUCUCUGCUAAAUGGAUCAUUUUCUUGGGCAGAAUAAAAACUUGUGACCAAAAGUUUUCGACAGAAAACAAGACAGAUUUGAUUAAUUUUUUUUAAAUUGGUAACGCGCAUUCCUCAACAUUAAGGAUAGGCUGGAGACAUUCAAAAAGAAGCAAAAAGAGAGUAGCAGGAAGCUACUUACAGAGAUCCUAACAAAUCUACUAGUUCUAAUUCAUCUAUUUCUAUCUUUUUACACCAAUAAUAAAAAGAUACAAUAAAAUUCCAUCUAACUUUAUGAAUGGAAUUGGACCUAUCUUCAAAGCUUCUGCCAUUUCUCUUUUUCCAUACAUUCCACCAUAUGCAGUGUGAGAUGAUUUUCCAUCAUCUCUUCUGGCUCUUGCUCCCAUUUUCUUCUAAUCCAACAACUCAUCAGAUCUGCAGUGUGCUCAGGCAUGGUCCAUCUUGUGUUAGCGAGGGUAAGAAAUAAGGCCCAUAACUGUGCAGUGAAUUUACAAUGCAAAAAGAGGUAAUUGCUUGUCUCUUCUGUUUCACCACAAAGUUUGCAUCUGAAACUAUAAUGCACCUCUUUUUCUUCAAAACCUCCUGUGUUAGGCAAGCCUUUCUUACUACCAACCAGGUAAAACAUUUUACUUUAGUUGGAGCUAUGUUUUUCCAGACAUUGUUCCCAAAAGUUGCUGUCUUCUGUUUUGAUGUGCAUAACUUACUCAUAAGCCCUCUUAACAGAGAAUUUUCUAUUAUUUUCAUGCUUCCAUCUCAUAUAGUCGGAAUUUGAGGUAGUGCCUGAGAAGUCCUCUAGUAGAAGAAGCAUGUUGGCCACCCUGUCCACCUCCCAAUCAUUCAAUCAUCUUCUAAAAGAAAGAUCCCAUCCAUGAUCAGUCCAGCAUUCUUUGAAAGUUGCUUCAGGGUUGUUGCAUAUGAUGAAUAAGUCAGGAAAGGUAUCCUUCAACGGGUUCUGAUUACUCCAAGCAUCUCCCCAAAACUUUGUUUUUUUCCCAUUUCCCACUUUCAUAGUCAUGUUUUCUUCUAUCUCUGGCCAAAGUUCUCUGAUUGUUUCCAUAGGGCAUAGAACUAGAAUUGCUACACCAUGGGGGGUUCUCAUCAUAUUUAGCAUUGAUGAUCUCUUUCCAUAGAGCCUGGUCUUCUUCACCAUAUUUCAUCAGUUGGCUGUCAUUCUGUCUCCUCAGAUUUGAUUAAUUGUACUACCAGCAUAGGAUAGGAAUCUAGCGGUCCAAGGCUUAAUCUUGUCUAUCAUCUUAUCUAUAAGGGGCUUGUACUGAAUCAUUGAGGUUUUCUUUUAGGUGAGAGGUAUACCUUGGUACUUGAAGGAAGAGCACCUUUUGUAAAUCCCAGAAGUUGUCGUAUAGCUGCUUGGUCAGCCACAUUAACACCUCCAAAAUAAAUGGAGCUCUUCUCAGUGUUUGCCACAAGACCAGAAGCACUAGAGAAGGCAGUAAAACAGUCAUUCAUCAUAGAGACAGACUUAAGGUCACCUCUGCAAAAAAGCAACAAGUCAUCUGCAAACCCAAGGGAUUAAGCAUGGAUCAAGCGAUAAUUGCAAUAGCGAGAGUUUAAUUCAAGUUUCAAUUAUGGCUGGAGAUGUUUGCUUGACCAUGCUUUCUGAUGAUGAGUUUUCUAAGUAAGAGUGUGAUGAGCUCAGAAAGAAGGUGAAAGCUGGCCUUCAAAAAAAGCUUACAAUUGUGGAGGUUGAACAGAAGGCUAAAAUCCUUCAUGAGGACAUCACAAAUCAUAGAAUUGCUCGAGAGCUGGAACUUGCACUGCAGAAUAUUCCUAGAGUGAUUCCAGAGGAAGAAGAGCUUGAAUCUCUUGAUGGGAAUGACAAUCAUAUGCACCAAUGCUCGAUGAGACAACCCUAAAGAAAAAUAAUCUUGGAGUGAUUCCCGAAGAAGUACAGCUUGAACCUCUGGCUGAAGAUGAGAGGGAUGGCAAUAAGAUGCAUCAAGCCAUUCUUGGAAAACUUUAGUAGCUCGUCUCUAUUACCUUGGUAUUUUGAUUUUAGUUGUUACAAAGAUUAUUCAGUUCUAGCUUUGUUAUUUAUAUUACAGUCCGUUAAGACUUUUUCCGGACCGCUUUAGUUUCUAUAAGAAAAACCAAAUGUACUCAUUUUGAAGUUGCAUUUGCUCUUACACCAUAUCAUGAUUCAUGAGAAGGGGUAUAUGGUGUAUUCUUUUCAACUUAA